rnacentral:rRNA from 1 species
UACGUAGGGUGCAAGCGUUGUCCGGAAUUAUUGGGCGUAAAGAGCUCGUAGGCGGUUUGUCGCGUCUGCUGUGAAAACGCGAGGCUCAACCUCGCGCCUGCAGUGGGUACGGGCAGACUAGAGUGCGGUAGGGGGAGAUUGGAAUUCCUGGUGCAGCGGUGGAAUGCGCAGAUAUCAGGAGGAACACCGAUGGCGAAGGCAGGUCUCUGGGCAUUAACUGACGCUGAGGAGCGAAAGCAUGGGGAGCGAACAGG